rnacentral:rRNA from 1 species
GCCUGAUGCAGCGACGCCGCGUGAGGGAUGACGGCCUUCGGGUUGUAAACCUCUUUCAGCAGGGACGAAGCGCAAGUGACGGUACCUGUAGAAGAAGGACCGGCCAACUACGUGCCAGCAGCCGCGGUAAUACGUAGGGUCCGAGCGUUGUCCGGAAUUACUGGGCGUAAAGAGCUCGUAGGUGGUUUGUCGCGUUGUUCGUGAAAACUCACAGCUUAACUGUGGGCGUGCGGGCGAUACGGGCAGACUGGAGUACUGCAGGGGAGACUGGAAUUCCUGGUGUAGCGGUGGAAUGCGCAGAUAUCAGGAGGAACACCGGUGGCGAAGGCGGGUCUCUGGGCAGUAACUGACGCUGAGGAGCGAAAGCGUGGGGAGCGAACAGGAUUAGAUACCCUGGUAGUCCACGCCGUAAACGGUGGGUACUAGGUGUGGGUUUCCUUCCUUGGGAUCCGUGCCGUAGCUAACGCAUUAAGUACCCCGCCUGGGGAGUACGGCCCCAAGGCUAAAACUCAAAGAAAUUGACGGGGGCCCGCACAAGCGGCGGAGCAUGUGGAUUAAUUCGAUGCAACGCGAAGAACCUUACCUGGGUUUGACAUGCACAGGACGUGCCUAGAGAUAGGUAUUCCCUUGUGGCCUGUGUGCAGGUGGUGCAUGGCUGUCGUCAGCUCGUGUCGUGAGAUGUUGGGUUAAGUCCCGCAACGAGCGCAACCCUUAUCUUAUGUUGCCAGCGCGUAAUGGCGGGGACUCGUGAGAGACUGCCGGGGUCAACUCGGAGGAAGGUGGGGAUGACGUCAAGUCAUCAUGCCCCUUAUGUCCAGGGCUUCACACAUGCUACAAUGGCCGGUACAAAGGGCUGCGAUGCCGUGAGGUG